UGGUACCUGGGGCCCCGGAGCCUGCAGGGCACGUGGGCCCCGCCAGCCCUGGACAAGACCCUCACCACGUGCCCACCAACCAAGUGUUACAGGCCCUAGAAUGCUGCCUGGCCUGCUCUGCUGGGUGGACUGUCUGUCUCCCUUUCUCUCUAUGUGGUAUUCAGCCUCCAAGCCUACGCCAGCUGUGUACAGCACCAUCUCCGCCUCUGCUGGCCCUCACUCACCAAAUGUGUAUUUAUAACAAAGUUCUCAAUCAUUAAAAAAAAACAAGAAAAAGAAUUUUCCUGGCUGCCACUUGCAUGUUUGUUUGCCUGUCAAAUUGCAAAGCAGUGCCACAGAGAUUUAAGACAGUACUGCUGGUGGCUUGGGGGCAGGAGCUCAGAUGUUUGCAGAUGCGAAGGUGCCUGCCCAGAGGUGACCCAGAGGUCGUGUAAGCUGGCCAUGGCAAUCCAGCUUCCCUUUGCCAUCUGCCCGGGGUGGGCAAGACACAGCCUGGAUAAGACCCAGGGAAUCCUGGUGUGCCUUCGGGAAGAUUCCCCUCCCUGAUAGGAAAGUUGCAUGUGACAACCCUGGGAGCAGCGAGCACCCGAGCACCCAGAUCCUGUUUCUAAAUACCAUUCUCCAAUACAAGAACCAGACUCCUUGGAGAACUGGCUGACUCCAGGGCUGGGGCA